AUUGGAUGAGCCCGCGGCCUAUCAGCUUGUUGGCGGGGUAACGGCCCACCAAGGCGACGACGGGUAGCUGGUCUGAGAGGACGACCAGCCACACUGGGACUGAGACACGGCCCAGACUCCUACGGGAGGCAGCAGUGGGGAAUAUUGCGCUAAUGCGCGAAAGCGUGACGCAGCGACGCCGCGUGGGGGAUGAAGGCCCUCGGGUUGUAAACCCCUUUCGGCAGGGACGAAGCGAGAGUGACGGUACCUGCAGAAGAAGUCCCGGCUAACUACGUGCCAGCAGCCGCGGCCGAU
rnacentral:rRNA from 1 species